rnacentral:rRNA from 1 species
UGGGGAAUAUUGGACAAUGGGCGCAAGCCUGAUCCAGCCAUGCCGCGUGGGUGAAGAAGGCCUUCGGGUUGUAAAGCCCUUUUGUCCGGAAAGAAAAGCUUCGGGUUAAUACCCCGGGGUUAUGACGGUACCGGAAGAAUAAGCACCGGCUAACUUCGUGCCAGCAGCCGCGGUAAUACGAAGGGUGCAAGCGUUACUCGGAAUUACUGGGCGUAAAGCGUGCGUAGGUGGUUUGUUAAGUCUGAUGUGAAAGCCCUGGGCUCAACCUGGGAAUUGCAUUGGAUACUGGCAGGCUAGAGUGCGGUAGAGGGUAGUGGAAUUCCCGGUGUAGCAGUGAAAUGCGUAGAGAUCGGGAGGAACACCAGUGGCGAAGGCGACUACCUGGACCAGCACUGACACUGAGGCACGAAAGCGUGGGGAGCAAACA